CUGAGCCUUGUGUGUUUCUCCCUCACCCACCACGGCAGGUGACACCGUUCAGCAGUGCCGUGCUGCCAGAAAUGCUCGCUGAGCCCGUGCGAGGGGGAAAUCUUACCACAACUGCUGAGAUUAUCCCAGAAAGACCCUUUGCAGACUGACUCCGCAUCCUCAGAGCUGAUCUGAUCGGGGCCUWCCAAAGACAUUAACGACGUCGAAAGUAGCUUAUUUUAAGAGAAAAUAUGCAGAAGAAGAACAUUUACAUCAAGAUUACCAUGAGUAUUGUCCAAAACACCUGAUACUACCAGAGGACCGGACUUGUAUCCUAAAAUUAUCUCUCCAGAAGCUGCGCUUCCUGGACGACCCCGAAGCCUAUCUCCGUAGGUCUGUAUUAAUUAACAAUCUGUUGAGGAAGAUUCACCUAGAGACAGAGAGGGAGAGCUAUGAAUACUUUAAGGAGGCUCCGUGCUAUAGGACUGCCUACUCUGACGCACGAAAACGGCUGAAGUUUAUGGUGCAGGAGUGCUGUUCCCAGUCGCUCUAUUAUGAAGAGCUGCACUCGUAUCGAAUCGUGCCUUACUCUGCAGAGAACGCCGUUUACGGGAUGGGCUACACGGGCAGCCACCUGGAGCAAAAUUCUCAGUUGCUUAUUUAUAAAAUGAAUUAAAGUAGCUGUUAGAGCCGCUGACGUUUGUUUCUGAAUGCUUGAACUGCUUGUGGAGGUGCUGAGGUGAGGCGCUGRUUGCAGGUGUGUUGGGAUGGCAGGCGGAUAUCGGGAGCUGAGCCCGAGGAAGGCGCUUUGGAGGAUGCUCCGCAGCCCCCGCUGUUAACCCCUGGUGUGCCGCACCUUGCUGCGCACACAGCGCGGGCCCGGGCCGAGCUCCUUUACCCGCACAGACUGCGCGAAAUGCGGUUUGCAGAAACAAAGCUGCACUUAAGCCACCCUGUGUGUAGAUACGGAUGCUCCGAAUCACCUUUUUUUUGCAGUUAAAUUACGCCGUCCCCAGUGCGAGGGGAGCCCCCCGAAGCGGUGGAGUAGUCUAACAGUGAGGAGUAAAACAACACAAGUUGUCUGCUGUGAAGGUGUAGACAGGAGGUUUCUCUGAGGAUUGCUUUGACCAUGAAGGAGUCAGUGCCAAAGGAWUAAGUCUUUAGAUUAGGAUUUUCAGAGACUGAACUCGCUUGCUACUUUCAGACACUCUACUGAGAUUUGCAAGGGUUUGUGGGUUGUUU